AAUCUUUUUUAUUUUCAGUAUCUAAUGGUGAAUGGCAUCCUAUAUAUACUCUGGCUGUCCCAAAGGGAAUAUGUUGCGAUAAAAGGCAUAGACGUACAGCGCAAGACGCCCAAAUUUUAGGAAUGAUCCUUCAAGGCAGUCUUCUUGACCCUCCAUUCGACUGACUGUACAAUAUGAAAUGCAGAAAAGGGGCAUGUGGCAUUCAGUUCCAGUUCGAUGGCAAAUGCUCGUAUUGCUAGGUUUGUUACAGAGGUAGCACCACCACAGUUUAUAAAUGUCAUGAGACACCGCGCUUCUAAGAUGCUAGAUACCAUCAAUGAGGAGGAAAGAGAAGCUACCAAAAGCGAGUUACUUUUUCUUAAGAGUUCUUCACCUUCAUCAUCAUCUUCAUCUUCAUCUUCAAAUGCGAACAAUUCUAAAUAUUUUCUCAAACAAGUUGAGAGGUCUUUUCCUGUAUAUGGCAGCUAAAGUCUCUACUUGAGCUUGCUGAGAGGAAUACACAUUUUAUCUCUUUCUGUUGCUACUUUUUGUAAAUAUAUAGAUAUGAAUUUGUUUGUUUUUCUA